GAUGAACGCUGGCGGCGUGCCUAAUACAUGCAAGUCGAGCGAACAGACGAGGAGCUUGCUCCUCUGACGUUAGCGGCGGACGGGUGAGUAACACGUGGAUAACCUACCUAUAAGACUGGGAUAACUUCGGGAAACCGGAGCUAAUACCGGAUAAUAUAUUGAACCGCAUGGUUCAAUAGUGAAAGACGGUUUUGCUGUCACUUAUAGAUGGAUCCGCGCCGCAUUAGCUAGUUGGUAAGGUAACAGCUUACCAAGGCAACGAUGCGUAGCCGACCUGAGAGGGUGAUCGGCCACACUGGAACUGAGACACGGUCCAGACUCCUACGGGAGGCAGCAGUAGGGAAUCUUCCGCAAUGGGCGAAAGCCUGACGGAGCAACGCCGCGUGAGUGAUGAAGGUCUUCGGAUCGUAAAACUCCGUUAUUAGGGAAGAACAAAUGUGUAAGUAACUAUGCACGUCUUGACGGUACCUAAUCAGAAAGCCACGGCUAACUACGUG
rnacentral:rRNA from 1 species